CAGUAGCCGCGGGAAUACGUAGGUGGCAAGCGUUGUCCGGGAUUAUUGGGCGUAAAGGGCUCGCAGGCGGUUUCUUAAGUCUGAUGUGAAAGCCCCCGGCUCAACCGGGGAGGGUCAUUGGAAACUGGGAAACUUGAGUGCAGAAGAGGAGAGUGGAAUUCCACGUGUAGCGGUGAAAUGCGUAGAGAUGUGGAGGAACACCAGUGGCGAAGGCGACUCUCUGGUCUGUAACUGACGCUGAGGCUCGAAAGCGUGGGGAGCAAACAGGAUUAGAUACCCCCGUAGUCCCUGUCUCUUAUAA
rnacentral:rRNA from 1 species